rnacentral:lncRNA from 1 species
UUUUUUAGACAAGGUUUGGAUUAUGUUGUUCCAUACAACUACCCAAAUCAACUUCAUAUCAGACGUGAUCAACUUUCAGCAGAAAAAACACGGUUCUCGAAAGAAAUCGUGCUUUUUCUUAUUCCAUGUACCAUAACCAGCUGUUAUGGCUUCCAUGCGAUGUACCAGCCGAUUCCUCAGAAACCUCAGAAGUUUGUUACAAUCAAUCACAUCAAUCUCAAAGUUUGUGAGCAUAGCUAGAUUCUGACCAGUCGAACACGCAGCUUUGAGAGCAGCUUUCUGAGGACCAUUGCAAUAAGACCAGCAUGUACUGGGAAAAUUUUCAGGUCCUCAAAGUGAUUAUUCAUCAGAUAGAGAAGGUGAUUAAUAUCUGAUGGUAGACAAAGUCACCCACUAACCAUAAACAAUUCCGAAAUCAAGUCCGCUGCUGCCCUGGUAAUUGAGUCGUACACGGACCUUAACAGCUGCAUCAUCCAGAUCCUGCCUUGCUAGAAUCCAUACGUGCCUCAGGUUUACCUUCCCUGAGGGAUACACGCAAACGUUGCAUUCAGAAAGAACAUCAACACAACCUCCUUCCAACUCAACCUUUCUUAACUUCUUGAUCAAAGAUCUUGAAGCAUUCUUCCUGAUCUCAGAAGCACGAUAAUACGAUUGAUGACUAUUCUCACCAUGAAGAGAAGGUAUUCCACCGGCAGUUGCUGACUUUAAACUCACUUUCAAUACCAUCUUAUUGUUCCUUCUGAAAUGAUAUACCAGGUGACUCCACUUUCAGCAGAAACAACACGAUUCCCAUUGGGUGAGUACCCACUAGAGAGGAAUCGUGCUUCUUAUUAUUCCAAGUACCAUAACCAGCUGCUAUGGCUUCCAUGCGAUGUGCCAGCCGAUUCCUCACAAACCUCAGAAGUUUAGGACCAUCAAUCACAUCAAUCUCAAACUUUAUGAGCAUAGCUGGAUUCUAACUAGUCGAACACACAGCUUUAAGAGCAGCUUUCUGAGGACCAUUGCAAUAAGACCAGCAUGUAUUGGGAAAAUUUUCAGGUCCUCAAAGUGAUUAUUCAUUGCGUAUGACGAGCAUGUUCUUGAUCCAGCACCUAAUGGGGAUCGUGUAUUAUUUGCUGAUUAUCGUGGAAUCACUUGGGAUCAGUUUAGAUACAGCCAGCAAUUGGCCUUUGAUAUUGAUCAUAAUACAUUGUCAGGAGGUAUGCCAACUCUUCCUGGUGAGCGGGGCAGGGAUCCUUUUUAUCUAGCUGCUGAGAUAACUAAGAAGGCAAGUAGAUCUUUAAUCAUGCUUUUAAGGAAGAUUGAACUAGAAGGCAAUUGUGUUGAAAUUCUUGAUCAUACCAAAGUCUGUGUCUAUGAGAACGGAUAGGUAAGGCUGUCACGCGCCCGUAUUCUGACAAAUCAAGAUUUAAGUGAUGCAGAAAUUGAGAAUCAUCUAAGACUUAAUUAUAGGGCAGCGGUGGAUAUGAUUUUUAUGUUGUUUGAUGUUAAUGGCAAUGGGCAGUAUUGGCUACCACCAGAUAUGGAUCACCUACUUGGAUUGAUGUGGAAUAAUUUUGGGGAUCGGGGAAUUUAUGCCAUACAUGCUGCUCUUGUACUCAUGGUUUUGUAUCCCCACUUGUUUAAGGAACUGCACAAUUUGAUUUCAGAUAAGAUUAGGGAUUCGGAAUACCAUGACAUCUGUGUUGCACUAGUUGCUAAUGCUCUUGAUUGGAGACGUGAAGUUCAUAAUAAUGACCUCCUUUGUGAAACAUAUUUUUUUAGACAAGGUUUGGAUUAUGUUGUUCCAUACAACUACCCAAAUCAACUUCAUAUCAGACGUGAUCAACUUUCAGCAGAAAAAACACGGUUCCCAUUGGGUGAGUACCCGCUCGAAAGAAAUCGUGCUUUUUCUUAUUCCAUGUACCAUAACCAGCUGUUAUGGCUUCCAUGCGAUGUACCAGCCGAUUCCUCAGAAACCUCAGAAGUUUGUUACAAUCACUCACAUCAAUCUCAAACUUUGUGAGCAUAGCUAGAUUCUGACCAGUCGAACACGCAGCUUUGAGAGCAGCUUUCUGAGGACCAUUGCAAUAAGACCAGCAUGUAUUGGGAAAAUUUUCAGGUACUCAAAGUGAUUAUUCAUCAGAUAGAGAAGGUGAUUACUAUCUGAUGGUAGACAAAGUCACCCACUAACCAUAAACAAUUCCGAAAUCAAGUCCGCUGCUGCCCUGGUAAUUGAGUCGUACACGGACCUUAACAGCUGCAUCAUCCAGAUCCUGCCUUGCUAGAAUCCGUACGUGCCUCAGGUUUACCUUCCCUGAGGGAUACACGCGAACGUUGCAUUCAGAAAGAACAUCAACACACAACCUCCUUCCAACUCAACCUUUCUUAACUUCUUGAUCAAAGAUCUUGAAGCAUUCUUCCUGAUCUCAGAAGCACGAUAAUACGAUUGAUGACUAUUCUCACCAUGAAGAGAAGGUAUUCCACCGGCAGUUGCUGACUUUAAACUCACUUUCAAUACCAUCUUAUUGUUCCUUCUGAAAUGAUACCAGGUGACUCCACUUUCAGCAGAAACAACACGAUUCCCAUUGGGUGAGUACCCACUAGAGAGGAAUCGUUCUUCUUAUUAUUCCAAGUACCAUAACCAGCUGCUAUGGCUUCCAUGCGAUGUGCCAGCCGAUUCCUCACAAACCUCAGAAGUUUAGGACCAUCAAUCUCAAACUUUAUGAGCAUAGCUGGAUUCUGACUAGUCGAACACACAGCUUUAAGAGCAGCUUUCUGAGGACCAUUGCAAUAAGACCAGCAUGUAUUGGGAAAAUUUUCAGGUCCUCAAAGUGAUUAUUCAUUGCGUAUGACGAGCAUGUUCUUGAUCCAGCACCUAAUGGGGAUCGUGUAUUAUUUGCUGAUUAUCGUGGAAUCACUUGGGAUCAGUUUAGAUACAGCCAGCAAUUGGCCUUUGAUAUUGAUCAUAAUACAUUGUCAGGAGGUAUGCCAACUCUUCCUGGUGAGCGGGGCAGGGAUCCUUUUUAUCUAGCUGCUGAGAUAACUAAGAAGGCAAGUCGAUCUUUAAUCAUGCUUUUAAGGAAGAUUGAACUAGAAGGCAAUUGUGUUGAAAUUCUUGAUCAUACCAAAGUCUGUGUCUAUGAGAACGGAUAGGUAAGGCUGUCACGCGCCCGUAUUCUGACAAAUCAAGAUUUAAGUGAUGCAGAAAUUGAGAAUCAUCUAAGACUUAAUUAUAGGGCAGCGGUGGAUAUGAUUUUUAUGUUGUUUGAUGUUAAUGGCAAUGGGCAGUAUUGGCUACCACCAGAUAUGGAUCACCUACUUGGAUUGAUGUGGAAUAAUUUUGGGGAUCGGGGAAUUUAUGCCAUACAUGCUGCUCUUGUACUCAUGGUUUUGUAUCCCCACUUGUUUAAGGAACUGCACAAUUUGAUUUCAGAUAAGAUUAGGGAUUCGGAAUACCAUGACAUCUGUGUUGCACUAGUUGCUAAUGCUCUUGAUUGGAGACGUGAAGUUCAUAAUAAUGACCUCCUUUGUGAAACAUAUUUUUUUAGACAAGGUUUGGAUUAUGUUGUUCCAUACAACUACCCAAAUCAACUUCAUAUCAGACGUGAUCAACUUUCAGCAGAAAAAAACACGGUUCUCGAAAGAAAUCGUGCUUUUUCUUAUUCCAUGUACCAUAACCAGCUGUUAUGGCUUCCAUGCGAUGUACCAGCCGAUUCCUCUGAAACCUCAGAAGUUUGUUACAAUCAAUCACAUCAAUCUCAAAGUUUGUGAGCAUAGCUAGAUUCUGACCAGUCGAACACGCAGCUUUGAGAGCAGCUUUCUGAGGACCAUUGCAAUAAGACC